AUGGCACCAACAGCGGUAGAGAUUUUGAGUAGAGACCGUCUAUUGCUCAAAGGUGAGAUGAAAAAGAUCUCUGAGAAUUGGGAAGAAAGGACAGAAGCAGCAGGUAUUAUAUGGCCCAUGGGAGGGACUUUUGAUCCAAUAAUGUAUCGGGACAUGGAGGUAGUAAUAAGGAAUUACAUAGAUAACAGAAGUGGAAAAACGGCCUUAGCGAAGAAGGACAGGGAAAGGUUAGUGCUAGCUUUGUUCGAAGAGGAGGGAGAGAGGUGUCGCGCAUUACAACGAGUGGCCAGAAAAAUAAUCACAAAGGAAGAGUGUAACAAUGCUGACAUUUGUUGUAGUGAGGGUGAAAACGAGAAUGAAGGAGAGGAGGAGGAUGACAUUGAGCAUGAUGGUGAAGGGUCAUCACAACCAUGUGUAAAACACAUUACUAAGAAUGCUAAAGGGAAAUUAAAGAAGCGGAACAAAAGAAAGGAGGAGUGGUCUGGGACACAAGGGGCAGAGGAGCCUGGCUGCAGUACAGCAGUACUAAGCCCCACACCACUCGAGUUAGAUGAGAAACUAAGGAGAGAACCAAGGGGGAAAAAGGCACCCGACACCCUCCCCGAAAAAACGUAGAACCACCACUGGGAUGGGUGAUUCUGUGGUUCUUGGAGACUCUCCAACGCAUCGGAACACCAUAUGGUAUAUAUCAUUACAUCUUGAUACACAGAGCACUGGUGAGACAACAGGUUGGAUCAGAGGGAGAAGGUGUUUGGAGAAGGGAGAGGAAUGUAAUGACAGCAAAAAGGGCGGACACGGAUCGACCCGGAGGUAAUAAAUCAGCGGAGAGGUGGCUGGGGUCGUUUAGCUCAGGAGGUAGAGCAGUUGUCUUGUAACCGAAGGGUUGCUGGAUCGAUCCCCAUCUCUCCUAGCUGAGUGUUGAUGUGUCCCUGAGCAAGUUACAUGGUGAUUACAGGAUUUAGGAAUAAUUAUUUAGACUCAAACAUGAGCAAUUAGCGUUAAAAAUUGUCUGCACACCACACUCCACAGGAGUCAAUGGGUUCAAUGGCGCCAGGGUAAAGUGACUCAUCAAACGAGGAGCGGACCCAACCCAUGGAUUCUGCGUGGAUAGGUGGAUGCUAUUUUGGUGCUUGGGCCUGACGAGGUCUAGGUGCCAAGAUAACAACACAAAUUAAAUAUUUCCUUCGAGAUUAUGAUAAGUAAUAGACAAUUUAUUAAAAGUGAUCUUAUAAUUCAGAGAAAACAAUCAGCAAUACUUAAAAAUUAGACCAAAUAAGUAUGAUAAAACGUUAUCCAAAUUUCUAAGUUACUAAUUACUAAAUAGAAACAAUGUAUCAAUUCAGUGUUGAAUAAACUAGUUAAGAUCAACAUAGAGGGUUUGGGUUUGGUAUAGUAGUGAAUCAAAAUAUGGAAAACACUAAAUGCAAGCAAUAGGUAGAAUAAAAGGUUUAAUUAGGUCGUCCAAUUUAAAUAAAUAGUGAAGGGCAAUCGGGUAGGAUUAUGAAGAGAAUUGUGAUUUUGAGUAACGGUUAAGACAAAAGUGAGUCGCCCAAUAUUGAAGAUGCAAGUUUUAAUAUUGUGAUUUUUGUUUUGUUUCACAUCUCCCUAGUUAAGGACAAUAGGUGGAUUGACGCUACAUCUGCUGGGAAGGAGACAUACAUGCUAUGUUGUCAAAUUGGAUUCGGAAGUAGUGGGUUUGCCUUCAAAUGCCACUAAUGCUGCUGCAACACUUUAAUAAUUUUAACUCUGAUAAAUUAUAUUUUGUUUUAUAGUCGCCCUGAUGUGUAUUCAUGACGCACACAUAUGGCUGCAUAAGGCAGAUGCGGCUGAAGACUCUGUCUCCAUCCCUCCACUUUGCGAUCUAUACCACCACAUAGGUGGGGAUUGAUCGUAUCCCAGGUACGGCAUCGUGCAGUAAGCCAGUAUGGAAGGCUGCUUAGCCAACGACGGGUAAGAUCCCACCUUGAAGCCCGGGACAACCUAAAUCAGGCACAGUCACGAUUACUUGGCAGAGUCACUGUGAGCACUGGCUCACUUGAACAUGUAGUGACGGACUGCAACCAUCAUAGGAAAAGCCGGCUGAUGAAAGGUGGAGGGGGAACAGGAGUCAGAUAUGUCAGCUCUGGCAGCAGAGGUCGUCUUGAAACGGGGCAUGUCGCGUUUUAUUUCAUUUUAUUUUACCUUUGUGGCAAAGAAGGCCACUAAUGCAUGUAUGUUUUUUCGGUUAAGUGCAUGACUUCGGAACAGCGUGGUUUCGGGCGGCUGAUGGUAAACCCACCCAUAUUGGGCUUAGGAUUUGGGCAUUCUGGUUUCGAUUUCCCUUCCCAGAAGAUUGGUUUCAGUUUGCUGAUGCUUAAGGUUAGACGUUUCGACGUUGGGUGCACCAACGGCGUUUUUAGAUUUGUUUAUCAUUUAAUGUGCAUGGUUUUGACCAUUGCGCAAGGGGGGAGGUAUUGAGGAGAAUUAGGAAAUUUUUUGAAAACAAGGUUUUUCUUCACCAUACUUGCAAACAAUGAUUAACAUCCAGCUAAAUGAGUGUGAAAUAUUUGAAAAAACAGUGUUCAACAGAUGGGUGGAAGCAGUCCCAUCAGAAGACCAAAGUGCGGCUACGGUAAUCAAGGCUCUGACGAGAGAAGUCAUGGCAAGGUUUGGAAUUCCGUCACAAAUUAGCUCAGGCGACAGAGCAGCGUUUGUUCAGAAAACACUCAGACAGGUGAUUUAACAUCUGCAUGUCAAAUAAAGACUAGUCCGUGUCUACAUUCCUCAAACCACAAGGUAUGGUGGAGAGAGGAAUGGGACGCUUAAGACAAAGAUUAACAAAAUUAAAUUAGAGUACUAAAUUGGAGGACUAAUGCACUACGACUGACACUAAUGAGUUAUCGCAUGAAAACUAACAGAACGACGCAUCUAACCCCGCAUGAAAUGCUUACGGGUCGACCCAUGCCUUCACCUGUCAUUCGAGGGCCUCAUAAAGGACCUCCAUUAGAACAAUUGGAAACUGAAUUAAGACGUUAUAUGGGACAACUAACUGGCAUACACAGGCUUAUUUUUCAACAAGAGAAAGACAGAGUUCCAGAGUUGGAGAAGGAGCCACCAAGGGGGGUGGAGCCAGGUGACCAAGUGUAUCUCAGGAUGUUCAGGAGAAAGUGGAACGAGCCCAGAGAAGGACCAUACAAAGUCACCAACGCAACACCAACAGCCAUCCAAGUGGAAGGAAGUGCCACGUGGUAUCAUCUCAACCACUGCACAAAAGCCGCUCAACCUAAAGCCAGGGAUGAGCAUGAGGAGGAGGAGCCAGACGCAGACACGCCUGGGGCUGACCAGCUGCCCCAGGACCAGAUCCAGUUGAGUCAAGAGAUUCAGCAACAUGAUAAUGCUGAAAACGGGGAGCCUGUUCCUGAUCCUUUACGGGUUGUGCCAGAUUCCGCUGGCACAAGGACAGACCCCGAGGAAGGAUGAAACCACGGAGACAACACAGACCUGGAAGAGCCAGGAAUCAGGGGCUGGUACUGAAGGAAGCCAGAGAGAAUAUAUACUUCUUAAAGCUGUGGCUUGGCAGAACAGACAGGCCUUAGAUUGGCUUUUAGCAGAAAAGGGGGGAGUUUGUGAUCUUAUAGGUGAAAUGUGUUGUACCUUCAUUCCAAAUAAUACUGCCCCAGAUGGAUCAUUUACACUUGCGAUGAACAAUUAAAAACGUUUAAGAAAAGAAUUAAAGGAAAACGCAGGCCAUGAUCAGGGAAUGUUUGGAUGGCUUGAAACAAAGUUUGGUAUGUGGGGAAUGAUGUUCGCAAAGAUAGGAGUAGUGCUCCUAAUAGUACUAACAGUGAUGGGUCUGAUCUUUUGCUGCUGCAUUCCCAUAGUCAGAUCCGUAAUAGCAUCCAGGCUUUCUAAAGAGAUGGCCCUCAUGGUGACUGGCAUAGAGGAGGGUUGGGAGGGAGAGGGUGCGCCGAGAGGAUGGUCGCACUGACAAUGGCUCCGCAUGCACUACGCAGCUUUAUGUUUAUAAUUGUUUUUAUUGUUAGUUUUUUUGUCGCUCAUUCAGUAUGAUCGACUGGCACUUUUGGAAAUUCGUGAGUCACAGCGAGUGCUUGCUGUGACUCCUUUGUCUUACCGCCGGUAUGCCUACCAAUACGCCGACGGAAGAGAAAGAAGAGAGGCAAGCGAGCCGGCAUCCUGUGCAGAUCUCGGACGAGAUACUGCAACCCACCGCUUCCAAGCAUUCUACUAGCGAAUGUGCAAUCUUUGGACAAUAAACUGGACGAGCUACACGCACGGAUUGAAUUCCAGCGGGACAUUGCAAACUGUUGUGUACUGGCGUUUACCGAGACCUGGCUGGAUCCUAUGGUGCCUGACUCUGCCGUCACUCCGACCGGCUUCUCCAUCUACCGGCAGGACAGGACUUCCGAGUCAGGUAAAAGAAGGGGAGGAGGGGUAUGCUUGAUGGUUAACUCUCGCUGGGGCUCGGAUUUUGCUGCACUUUCAGCACACUGCUCACCAGACCUGGAGCUGUUAUCGAUUAAAGUUCGCCCCUUCUAGCUCCCAUGGGAAUUCAGCUCCGUUAUUGUCACAGCAGUAUACAUUCCACCGCAGGCGGACAAAACGUGCGCGUUAGAGGAACUUUACAGAGUAAUUAAUGGACUUGAGGAUGCUCACCCUGAGGCGGUUUCUAUUGUUGUUG
ensembl:lncRNA